rnacentral:rRNA from 1 species
CCCCCGGUAGUCCCACCGCUGUAAACGAUGCUCGAUUUGGACGGUUGCCCCCAUGAGGCGUCGCCUUCUAGGAGAUAUCGCGUUAACUCGUUCGCAUGGAGAGUCCGGGCGCAAGGUUAAGACUCAAAUGAAUUGACGGGGGCCCGCACAAGCGGUGGAGCAUGUGGUUUAAUUCGAUGCAACGCGAAGACCUUUACAUACUCUUGACAUCCAGAGAACUUUCCAGAGAUGGAUUGGUGCCUUCGGGAACUCUGAGACAGGUGCUGCAUGGCUGUCGUCAGCUCGUGUUGUGAAAUGUUGGGUUAAGUCCCGCAACGAGCGCAACCCUUAUCCUUUGUUGCCAGCGGUUCGGCCGGGAACUCAAAGGAGACUGCCAGUGAUAAACUGGAGGAAGGUGGGGAUGACGUCAAGUCAUCAUGGCCCUUACGAGUAGGGCUACACACGUGCUACAAUGGCGUAUACAAAGAGAAGCGACCUCGCGAGAGCAAGCGGACCUCAUAAAGUACGUCGUAGUCCGGAUUGGAGUCUGCAACUCGACUCCAUGAAGUCGGAAUCGCUAGUAAUCGUAGAUCAGAAUGCUACGGUGAAUACGUUCCCGGGCCUUGUACACACCGCCCGUCACACCAUGGGAGUGGGUUGCAAAAGAAGUAGGUAGCUUAACCUUCGGGAGGGC